AUCACUAAUGUCUGUAUGUGGCAGAUUAGUCAGAUCCUCCCUGUAGUGACGUCAUGUUAUUGGUAGCCUAUCUUCCCGCAGGGAGGUGUGUAUAAAUGGCUGUUUGGUGCGGGCCGGAUGUGCGUCAUCUGUUCUGUGCCUGCGCUCUUCCUGUUUACCGGCAUUCAACAGAGGUCUGUGGUUAAAACACAGCCGUUUGGGCAUUUUAACACGCUUGUGUCAUUUUGUGGGGCUUUGCGUACACUGGAGAGUCUAUUGUAAACAACCGUUACGUGCGGUCUGGCUCGUUACACUGCCUAGUCCCAGCAUUCCCGUGUGUUUACCGUUUGAGUGGGGACAUCCAAUAUAUGCUGUUUGGCAUCUACUUCAUUUCUAUCCCGUGGAUACUGACGUCAGCUCUGCUUUCUGGUGUGGCAAACGGCUGCGUUAUUUGGAGCUGUGUGUCCGACGGCAGUGAGGCUUUCCUUCACCGUGUGCUGUGUUAUGCUGUGUGAGCACCACUGAUAAAAUCACGGGUAUUGGAGUGAGUGUGGGUGUGUGUGUGUGCACUUAGUGUGAUUCUCCUCUUUUGCUCCCUCUCUUAGCCCAUUUGAUGCCAAUAGGCUACAGCUCCGAAGUAAAUGUGAAUCCUUAUUGUGGAUUGUGAUUUCCAGCUUAGUAAUUGGCUGGGUGACUAUUAUUCCUGCAUUUUAAACUUUUGUACUAAUAAACAAACUCUAUUUUGCUACCCACGUCUCUUGCUCAUUUUAUUCAGUGGAAUGAACCUGGGUUCCUUAUAACAUUUUAAGUGAACUGUGAUUCCCUGGUAUAGUCCCAGGGUGGCGUAGUCUAUUGUAUAUCUCCUGAGUGUUGAAUAUUGCUGCAAAAAGACCACUUUGCCACAUGUAGUUUUCAGAAAUAUACCCAGAUAGCGAGCCAAUCACUAAUAGUCAUUGCAUGAAUGCAGCUGCAGUUGCAAUGCUCUGGUUGCCAGAUAUUCCUUGAAAGGGACUUUGUCAAGCUUAAGGUCACUUAAGGUGCGACAGUUCAGACAGAUCUGAUUGAAAUGCAUUAUAUAUUUAAGUAAACCUCUUGAAACACUUUCAAAUAUUACAUUUGCUUACAAACUCUUUCUUGACAUUGUGACAUCUUCCAGAUAAUUUGGCAGCUGGAAGAAACGUCACAGUCAUCAACUUAUGGUCUCUGGUCUGCUGAACAUGCCAUUGAUUUCAAUCCAGGAUUAACAAAUUCACAAAUUAAUAAAAAGUUAUUUUUACAGAAUAAGUAGCAUCUUAAUAACAAACAGAAUAAAAAUAAAUGGAGCGGAGAUUCACAUUGGAAACUCUCUGGAGAACAACGGCAACAACAAUCCCAUAUGCACUGUGAUUUCUAGCAUUCCAGCUGGUGUUUCCUCCACCUACAUUUGUAACGAUAUGGAGGGUCGAUACGUGAAUCUGAUAAUUCCUGGAGAUUCAAGGAUUCUUACUCUGUGUGAGGUGGAGGUCUAUGGAGAAGGUGUGAUCAAACACGGAAAAUAAAGCUAUUAAUGAAUGAAAUUACUCAUUUUGGGCUGUUGAUUUCAAAAUACUUCUCACAAGAUAUGAUGCUUUUUGUAGCAUUUUU